AACCCACCGUAGGCCUUCGGGCCUAUGUCUUACUUUAUAAUCUGAAUGUCUAAUAGAAUGUAAACCCAUUUCGUUGCCUUGAAAACGUAACGAAAGAAAACUAUACAACUUUCAACAACGGAUCUCUUGGCUCUCGCAUCGAUGAAGAACGCAGCGAAAUGCGAUAAGUAAUGUGAAUUGCAGAUUUUCAGUGAAUCAUCGAAUCUUUGAACGCACCUUGCGCCCCUUGGUAUUCCGAGGGGCAUGCCUGUUUGAGUGUCAUUAAAUCCUCAACCCCUCCGAUUCGUUUCGGUGGGGAUUGGACUUGGAGCGUGCUGGCGAAGGUCGGCUCCUCUUUAAAUGCAUCAGCGGAGAAAAUGCCUUUUGCGCCUCUGGCCGUUCAGCGUGAUAAUGAUGUUGCGCUGCGGUCGAGCUUAAGGUCCGCUUCCAAAGGUCCUCGGACAAAUAUACAUAUGACUUUUGACCUCAAAUCAGGUAGGACUACCCGCUGAACUUAAGCAUAUCAAUAAGCGGAGGAAAAGAAACUAACAAGGAUUCCCCUAGUAACUGCGAGUGAAGCGGGAAAAGCUCAAAUUUAAAAUCUGGCGGUCUCCGGCCGUCCGAGUUGUAAUCUGGAGAAGUGUUUUCCGCGUCGGACCGUGUACAAGUCUUCUGGAACGGAGCGUCGUAGAGGGUGAGAAU
rnacentral:rRNA from 1 species